CUCGAGGCGGCGUGCACGCGGGCAGGAGCGGGUGUCCUGGCGGCCCGGCGCUGCCGGGGUGGAGGCGAAAGGGCUGCAGGUUGGGACACGCAGCGGGUCAGUGUCUAUGCAGCAGGAGCCCAGCCUCCUUGGGACCCACCCCAGCUAUGGCUUCAAGACCACACUGGGCAGUGUCCAUGCAGACAGGAGCUGGGUUUCCCGAUGACUCAGGUGCUGCCGGGAUGAACAGUUUGAAUUUCCAGUUUAAAGGAUUGAGCAGAGCCGCUGUCGGGGCGGGGCCUCGGCUGGCUGUGAGGGCGGCUGGGCCCGCGCUUUCCCAUUGGCUGGCCGGGCCCGGAGCCCGCCUCCCCCACCUGCGGCGGGAACUCGCGUGCGUUCUGCCCGAGGAUUUGGCGUCCUGCGCAGCUGCCU